GGGGGUGCCUCUUGGUGAGGACAGUAAAAUCGACACUUACUUAGGCGGGUUCGAAUCCCGUCACCUCCACCA
rnacentral:tRNA from 1 species